rnacentral:rRNA from 1 species
UUCCCUUAGUAACUGCGAGUGAAGCGGGAAAAGCUCAAAUUUAAAAUCUGGUAGUCUUUGGCUACCCGAGUUGUAAUCUAGAGAAGUGUUAUCCGCGCUGGACCGUGUAUAAGUCUCCUGGAAUGGAGCGUCAUAGAGGGUGAGAAUCCCGUCUUUGACACGGACUACCAGGGCUUUGUGAUGCGCUUUCAAAGAGUCGAGUUGUUUGGGAAUGCAGCUCUAAAUGGGUGGUAAGUUCCAUCUAAAGCUAAAUAUUGGCGAGAGACCGAUAGCGAACAAGUACCGUGAGGGAAAGAUGAAAAGAACUUUGGAAAGAGAGUUAAACAGUACGUGAAAUUGUUGAAAGGGAAACGCUUAAAGUCAGUCGCAUUAGCUAGGGAUCAGCCUCGCUUUUUGCUUGGUGUAUUUUCUGGUUGAUGGGUCAGCAUCAAUUUUGACCAAUGGAAAAAGGUCGAAGAAAUGUAGCAUCUUUGGAUGUGUUAUAGUCUUCGUUCACAUACAUUGGUUGGGAUUGAGGAACUCAGCAUGCCGAAAGGCCGGGUUUUAAACAACGUUCAUGCUUAGGAUGCUGGCACAAUGGCUUUAAUCGACCCGUCUUGAAACACGGACCAAGGAGUCUAACAUACCUGCGAGUGUUUGGGUGGAAAACCCAAGCGCGCAAUGAAAGUGAAAGUUGGGAUCUCUGUCGUGGGGAGCACCGACGCCCGGACCAGACCUUCUGUGACGGAUCCGCGGUAGAG